rnacentral:lncRNA from 1 species
AAAUGUUGAGUUUGGAGUUCUUUAAUCUAGGUACGUGUUUUGCAAACAUUUUCUCCUAGUCUAUAGCUUCUUUUCAUCCUUCUAACACAGUUCUUCAUAGAACAAACAUUUUAAAUUUGGAUGAAGUCCAAUUUAUUGACUUUUUUUCUUUUAUAGAUCAUGCUGUUGAUAUCAUGUUUAGGAACUCUUCAACAGUCCAUAGGUAUUGAAGAUUUUCUGAUGAUUCUUUGUAAACAUCCUUGAAUUUUCUGAUAUAUAGUCUCCAAACAACUGGAAGUUCGAAAUCACUGCCAAAACCACAUUCUGAUCCAAGAACAUCUGAGUGCUUUAAUAACCUAAAUCAGAAGCCUGCAACCUCUUCCUGCAACACGCCACAUGGUUCCACUCAUACUUUUCAGCACUCCUCAGCAGGUUGCUUCCAAGAAUUGAUCAAAGGAUGAAGUAUCCACCCUGUGCAGGUACAGAUAUUGGACAACACUCAGUGCUUCCCAUGAAGCAAAGAAAUGCCCUCCUGUGAAGCCCUUCAGCCUCCUCCACCUUCAUCACUGCCUUGCUCCACACUCCUGUUCUCAGCCUCAGACUUCCACACUGCCUUCUUCAAGCUUACUGAUGGCGCAAGUGUCAUGCUAUUUACUAUAUGCCAAGAAUUGCAUAAAUUAUCUCAUAUACUAUCUCAUAUAAUUAUCUCAUUGAAUUUUCAUAACCACCUCAGAAUAGGCUUUGUUAUCCCAGUGUUAUUAAUAAAGAAAAUG